rnacentral:ncRNA from 1 species
UCGCCCGGUGCGCGCAAGGGUCGCCGCCUGGUCGAGGAGAGAUGCGCGCCGCACCUGCCCCGUUCGCGGGGCCGGGGAAGCCGUUCGAGCAGCGUCGUGUCGCGGUCCGGGACUGUCCUCAGUCCCGGGUCGUCUCGGCGCGGUUCCGAGCGGUCGCUCCCUCGCGAGGUGCCGCGGGUCAGCGGCUGACGCCAGCCACCUUCCCGACCCGUCUUGAAACACGGACCAAGGAGUCUAACAUGUGCGCGAGCCGCGGGGCAGUACGAAACCCGUAAGGCGAAAUGAAGGUGAACGCCGGCGCGGUCCGGCGGAGGUUGGAUCCCGUCCCGUCCGGGCGGGCGCACUACCGGCCGAUCUUCUCCGCCCUGUCGGCGAGGUCGAGCGAGAGCGUGCAAGUCGGGACCCGAAAGAUGGUGAACUAUGCCUGAGGAGGUUGAAGCCAGAGGAAACUCUGGUGGAGGACCGUAGCGAUUCUGACGUGCAAAUCGAUCGUCAAAUUUGGGUAUAGGGGCGAAAGACUAAUCGAACCGUCUAGUAGCUGGUUCCCUUCGAAGUUUCCCUCAGGAUAGCUGGCGCUCUGUCGCAGUUUUAUCUGGUAAAGCGAAUGAUUAGAGGUCUUGGGGGCGAAACGCCCUCAACCUAUUCUCAAACUUUAAAUUGGUAAGAAGCCCGACUCGCUCGUUUGGAGCCGGGCAUGGAAUGCGAGUGCCAAGUGGGCCACUCUUGGUAAGCAGGAC